rnacentral:rRNA from 1 species
UGUGGAGCUUUAGACACUAAGGCAGACCAUGUUAAUAACCCCUAGACAAAGGCUAAAACAAGAUGACCCCUGCCCGCAUGUUUUUGGUUGGGGCGACCGUGGGGGAAAAAAUAACCCCCAUGCGGACCGGGAGGACUUCUCCUAGAAGCAAGAACCACAGUUCUAACUAACAGAACUUCUGACCUAUAAGAUCCGGCUGACGCCGAUCAACGGACCGAGUUACCCCA